rnacentral:rRNA from 1 species
GUGAGGAAUAUUGGUCAAUGGGCGGGAGCCUGAACCAGCCAAGUCGCGUGAAGGAAGAAGGAUCUAUGGUUCGUAAACUUCUUUUGCAGGGGAAUAAAGUGCAGGACGUGUCCUGUUUUGUAUGUACCCUGAGAAUAAGGAUCGGCUAACUCCGUGCCAGCAGCCGCGGUAAUACGGAGGAUCCGAGCGUUAUCCGGAUUUAUUGGGUUUAAAGGGUGCGUAGGUUGUUUGAUAAGUCAGCGGUGAAAGUUUGCAGCUGAACAGUAAAAAUGCCGUUGAAACUGUCGGACUUGAGUGUAAAUGAGGUAGGCGGAAUGCGUGGUGUAGCGGUGAAAUGCAUAGAUAUCACGCAGAACUCCGAUUGCGAAGGCAGCUUACUAAGCUACAACUGACACUGAAGCACGAAAGCGUGGGGAUCAAACAGGAUUAGAAACCCGGGUAGUCC